rnacentral:lncRNA from 1 species
UUUAUCUUUGUUGUUCUGUAUAAUAUUUUUGGCUCAACAUUUUAUUAAAACUCAUUUUUUCUCCCCCACAAUCUUACCCGUUCAGUUUUGUGCUGUUUUUUCAUUCGGUGAACAAGUGUAAGGAAAUUUGCAUCUCUAUUUAGCUUCAUGAAACUCUGGUGAUUUUUCAUUCGGUGAACAAGUGUAAGGAAAUUUGCAUCUCUAUUUAGCUUCAUGAAACUCUGGUGAUGCUCACACGAAAAUCACUGCUUAUAUGCAGGACUAUUUAUUCUGUUUUUGUCCUAACUGUUGAUUAAACUUGGCUACUAAGUUUGAAUGAGAUAUUCUUCUGCAAAAUUGUAGGUUUCUUU